UGCAGAAUCCCGUGAACCAUCGAGUCUUUGAACGCAAGUUGCGCCUGAGGCCAUUAGGCUAAGGGCACGUCUGCCUGGGCGUCACGC
rnacentral:rRNA from 1 species